UUUUCCCGAAGUUGCGAAUCUGCAAACUGGAUAUCAAACGAGAUUUGCCAUUUCGUGAAAAUA
rnacentral:pre_miRNA from 1 species